rnacentral:rRNA from 1 species
UACGUAGGGGGGCGAGCGUUUGUCCGGAAUUAUUGGGCGUAAAGAGCGUGUAGGCGGUUCGGUAAGUCUGCCGUGAAACCUGGGGCUCAACCCCGGGCGUGCGGUGGAUACUGCCGGGCUAGAGGGUGGUAGAGGCGAGUGGAAUUCCCGGUGUAGCGGUGAAUGCGCAGAUAUCGGGAGGAACACCAGUAGCGAAGGCGGCUCGCUGGGCCAUUCCUGACGCUGAGACGCGAAAGCUAGGGGAGCGAACAGG